GAUGAACGCUGGCGGCGUGCCUAAUACAUGCAAGUCGAGCGAACAGACGAGGAGCUUGCUCCUCUGACGUUAGCGGCGGACGGGUGAGUAACACGUGGAUAACCUACCUAUAAGACUGGGAUAACUUCGGGAAACCGGAGCUAAUACCGGAUAAUAUAUUGAACCGCAUGGUUCAAUAGUGAAAGACGGUUUUGCUGUCACUUAUAGAUGGAUCCGCGCCGCAUUAGCUAGUUGGUAAGGUAACGGCUUACCAAGGCAACGAUGCGUAGCCGACCUGAGAGGGUGAUCGGCCACACUGGAACUGAGACACGGUCCAGACUCCUACGGGAGGCAGCAGUAGGGAAUCUUCCGCAAUGGGCGAAAGCCUGACGGAGCAACGCCGCGUGAGUGAUGAAGGUCUUCGGAUCGUAAAACUCUGUUAUUAGGGAAGAACAAAUGUGUAAGUAACUAUGCACGUCUUGACUGUACCUAAUCAGAAAGCCACGGCUAACUACGU
rnacentral:rRNA from 1 species